GGUCCGUUGGUGUAAUGGGUAACACACUCGGGAGUAAUGCGAGAAAGCUCUUCGUGAGCUAUUACCAAGUAAACUGCAAGUUACCGGUUCGACUCCGGUGCGGGCCA